rnacentral:lncRNA from 1 species
UUUAGGUGUCAAUCGGAUCUUAUAGCUUUAAUAGUGUACAUGAAUAAAACUUUUUGCUUUACGAAUGUAGGUCUAGAAAUAAGUGGUCAGCUGAACUUGGAAACAAGGAUUUGGUUAGCUGAACUUGGCAACAAGGAUCCAGGUGGCUCAUGUGGCUCUCAAGCAUCGCUUGAAGGUAACACAAUAACAAAGGAUUAUUGCAUUCAGGGUAGGGUAAUCUCUAUUUCUAAUAAUUUCAUUAUCCUCAAUCUUUUUCUUCUUUUGUUUUGUUCUCUUUACUAAUUGUUACACUUUGUGCGUUUAGCCCUCUGAAAUGUGACGAUGAGUUAGAGAUUACUGGAAGGACAUUAAAAGGAACAGUGUGUCUGUCACUGUAGUUAACUUUGAUGAGGAAGAUGAGGAAAUGCCCUUUCUGACAUGCUAACCCAUGUUGCAAAGUACUGCUCUAUUACGUAUGCUUCUCACUAGAAUAUGGUCCUACAUUUUACUUUGAACGAUUACUAAUUUUGCAUAAUUCGACAUAUUCAUUACAGGAAUCGUAUUGUAUAUUCAAGUGCAAAACUAUCCCAUUUGAUACCUUGUAAUUUUUUAUUUUUUAGCAGUUGAUGGCAGUAUUGUUGCAAAGAAAAGACACAUUAGAAUGGGCUCAUAUAGGAAAAGACGCCGUCAAGUCAAUCUGGUUCUUGCUUGUUCUAAAAAAUAUUAUACUUUGGUAGGUUUUCUACUCCUCUCUUUCCCGUUGUUCAUUGUAGUACUCGAUAUGAAAAUGAAGUACUCAAAGAAUAUACUUCUCUUACGGUUCAACUUAUAAUCUCUUGCACCAUUUAUGUUCUUCGAUCUGACCAUUUAUUUAUUUAGUUUCUUCUUUUCUUAGGUAUGUACCCUUACUUAAUGCAAUCAUUUACCGUGGUGAUAGAGAGGUCACGAAAGAAAUUAAAAGCACAUGCCAGAAACAAUAGAGCACAGGCACUGUUACUUUCUACUCAGUUCUGGAAACUGCACCUUUGCUGUGUCUUAUGUAUAGUUGUCUUUGAUCUCUGUGUACCUUUGAUUAUGUCAAUUUAUCUUCGAGAUAUUUUGUUAUCUUUAACGUUGAUGUUCCCAAUGAUUUUAAUUCUUUAUGCACUUUCACCAACAAAUGUACAAGAACUUUCAUACUUCUAACUUGUAACUUUGUUUUGUUUUGCAGCACUACUUUUGCACAAAACCUCUUCAAUGAAGUUUAAAUUUAGCAGGAGUGUAUUGUUGGCUUCAUGAUACUUUUCUACAUGUAACUUAAAUGUUAUGGUGUAUCGAAUUCAGC